GAAGACUAAGCUUCAUGCAGGGAAUUUCCAAAGCCACGAAGCUGGCAAGUGACAGCUGGGAUUUGCAUGAAGUCCUGUCUGAUUUUAAAGUUCACCCUCACCUUGUCUCAUCCUCCUGCCUUCUUAGAAAAUGUUUCAAGGAUGAAGCAAGGAUCUACAUUUGGAAGACGGAACGAGAGCGAUAAAAUCUCAUUAGAAAGAGUUCCUUAUCGUGAAUAUAAUAACCGCGCUCAGAAAUGUGAAGGGCUUUCUCUUUAGCAGUCACAGUGCAUAAUGAAAAAGCAACGGGUGAUAAAUCCUGGGCAGCUUUUGGCACAAGUCUUUGCAGAGAACUUCUCACGGUGAGAGGAGAAGGGAGACUCCGGCGGAGGGCUUUGCGGAUCUUUGCUUUGCUUCCAGCAGCUCCCUCCUAGGGGUCCUCCGUCUCCCCCCGAACCCCCAACUCAUCCCAGGCCCUAAUUACCAUGCUUUGCCUGCUGUAAUUCCUUCUCACAUGUUAUAUGGCUUGGAAAGAAAGAGGCCUGAGCGAAAUGUGGCUAUGUUGCAUCAACAAACACUUACUGAGACCCAGUGGAUUCAAAUGUCUCUUCAUUUGCUGAAUCAGUUCUGGAAUCGCGCGUGCACGCGCGCGCGCACACACACACACACACACGUGCAUGCACACCGGGCAUCAAUUUGAUACCAUCUCCAGUGCAUGCAGACUAGGAAUGUGAUUUAUAGCAAAAUACUAAUUAAAAUGAAAUCAUCGAAAAAUAUUUGGGGGCACAGUGGAACGCUUCGUAACAGGGUGUGAUCUAGCGCAGGCAAUUAGAAGCGUACAUGAAGUCAGCCUUCUGCUUGUUAGGGAAAGGCAGGAAAAAAGACAGAAUGAGGAGGCCGUGGACCCCGGCAGGAUGUGCUUCACAAGGGCCUGUGUGAAGUUCCGCAUCCCACACUCCUCUCAAUAGUGUUGAGUAAGCCUGCAGUUCCAGCUCGGACACUGUCCCGCUUGGAUUUCCCAACCUUCUCCCCCAGGCCUUGGCCGGCCUGAGACCUCCGAGGCUUGGUCUGCCCUCCCCUUCUCCCCUUCCUCUGUGAGAGCCAGCGAGGACGUGUGAGAUGUGAGCGCGCUUCCAGGCUCAGCAGCAUUCCACGGGCUGCAUGUUUUUACAUUAAUUUAUCAAAACACAAACAUAGCAAAACUGUGAUGCUAAUCCUGUAUAAAGAAUAUCUUCUGUCAUUUUGAAAAAAGCACCUGGUGAAAAAAUACACACACCCGGCCAGCAUUCAAACUGCUUUGAAAAUAAAGUGGGAUUUGUUUGCAAGGA